AUUGAACGCUGGCGGCAGGCCUAACACAUGCAAGUCGAGCGGAGCGGCGGACGGGCGAGUAAUGCCUAGGAAUCUGCCUGGUAGCGGGGUAGAACGUACGGACGCGGGCGCUAAUACCGCAUACUAUCAAUUGCGCCUAGGCCGGAUGAGCUAGUUGGUGGGGUAAAGGCUUACCAAGGCGACGAUCCGUAACUGGUCUGUGAGGAUGAUCAGUCACACUGGAACUGAGACACGGCCCAGACUCCUACGGGAGGCAGCAGUGGGGAAUAUUGUACAAUGGGCGAAAGCCUGAUGCAGCCAUGCCGCGUGUAUGAAGAAGGUCUUCGGGUUGUAAAGCACUUUAAGUUGGGAGGCGUUACCGACAGAAUAAGCACCGGCUAACUUCGUGCCAGCAGCCGCGGUAAUUC
rnacentral:rRNA from 1 species